AACGAACGCUGGCGGCAGGCCUAACACAUGCAAGUCGAACGCCCUAGCAAUAGGGAGUGGCAGACGGGUGAGUAACACGUGGGAACCUUCCCUAUAGUACGGAAUAGCCCAGGGAAACUUGGAGUAAUACCGUAUACGCCCGAGAGGGGAAAGAUUUAUCGCUAUAGGAUGGGCCCGCGUCGGAUUAGCUAGUUGGUGAGGUAAUGGCUCACCAAGGCAACGAUCCGUAGCUGGUUUGAGAGAAUGACCAGCCACACUGGGACUGAGACACGGCCCAGACUCCUACGGGAGGCAGCAGUGGGGAAUCUUGGACAAUGGGCGCAAGCCUGAUCCAGCCAUGCCGCGUGAGUGAUGAAGGCCUUAGGGUUGUAAAGCUCUUUUGGCGGGGACGAUAAUGACGGUACCCGCAGAAUAAGUCCCGGCUAACUUCGUGCCAGCCGCCGCGGUAA
rnacentral:rRNA from 1 species